rnacentral:rRNA from 1 species
CCUACGGGGGGCUGCAGUGGGGAAUAUUGGACAAUGGGGGGAACCCUGAUCCAGCCAUGCCGCGUGUGUGAAGAAGGCCCUCGGGUUGUAAAGCACUUUCAGUGAGGAAGAACGCCUGGUGGUUAAUACCCAUCAGGAAAGACAUCACUCACAGAAGAAGCACCGGCUAACUCCGUGCCAGCAGCCGCGGUAAUACGGAGGGUGCGAGCGUUAAUCGGAAUUACUGGGCGUAAAGCGCGCGUAGGUGGCUUGAUAAGCCGGUUGUGAAAGCCCCGGGCUCAACCUGGGAACGGCAUCCGGAACUGUCAAGCUAGAGUGCAGGAGAGGAAGGUAGAAUUCACGGUGUAGCGGUGAAAUGCGUAGAGAUCGGGAGGAAUACCAGUGGCGAAGGCGGCCUUCUGGACUGACACUGACACUGAGGUGCGAAAGCGUGGGUAGCAAACAGGAUUAGAUACCCCUGUAGUC